rnacentral:rRNA from 1 species
AAGUCGAGCGGACAGAUGGGAGCUUGCUCCCUGAUGUUAGCGGCGGACGGGUGAGUAACACGUGGGUAACCUGCCUGUAAGACUGGGAUAACUCCGGGAAACCGGGGCUAAUACCGGAUGGUUGUCUGAACCGCAUGGUUCAGACAUAAAAGGUGGCUUCGGCUACCACUUACAGAUGGACCCGCGGCGCAUUAGCUAGUUGGUGAGGUAACGGCUCACCAAGGCGACGAUGCGUAGCCGACCUGAGAGGGUGAUCGGCCACACUGGGACUGAGACACGGCCCAGACUCCUACGGGAGGCAGCAGUAGGGAAUCUUCCGCAAUGGACGAAAGUCUGACGGAGCAACGCCGCGUGAGUGAUGAAGGUUUUCGGAUCGUAAAGCUCUGUUGUUAGGGAAGAACAAGUGCCGUUCAAAUAGGGCGGCACCUUGACGGUACCUAACCAGAAAGCCACGGCUAACUACGUGCCAGCAGCCGCGGUAAUACGUAGGUGGCAAGCGUUGUCCGGAAUUAUUGGGCGUAAAGGGCUCGCAGGCGGUUUCUUAAGUCUGAUGUGAAAGCCCCCGGCUCAACCGGGGAGGGUCAUUGGAAACUGGGGAACUUGAGUGCAGAAGAGGAGAGUGGAAUUCCACGUGUAGCGGUGAAAUGCGUAGAGAUGUGGAGGAACACCAGUGGCGAAGGCGACUCUCUGGUCUGUAACUGACGCUGAGGAGCGAAAGCGUGGGGAGCGAACAGGAUUAGAUACCCUGGUAGUCCACGCCGUAAACGAUGAGUGCUAAGUGUUAGGGGGUUUCCGCCUCUUAGUGCUGCAGCUAACGCAUUAAGCACUCCGCCUGGGGAGUACGGUCGCAAGACUGAAACUCAAAGGAAUUGACGGGGGCCCGCACAAGCGGUGGAGCAUGUGGUUUAAUUCGAAGCAACGCGAAGAACCUUACCAGGUCUUGACAUCCUCUGACAAUCCUAGAGAUAGGACGUCUCCUUCGGGGGCAGAGUGACAGGUGGUGCAUGGUUGUCGUCAGCUCGUGUCGUGAGAUGUUGGGUUAAGUCCCGCAACGAGCGCAACCCUUGAUCUUAGUUGCCAGCAUUCAGUUGGGCANUCUAAGGUGACUGCCGGUGACAAACCGGAGGAAAGGUGGGGAUUACGUCAAAUCAUCAUGCCCCUUAUGACCUGGGCUAACAACGUGCUACAAUGGACAGAACAAAGGGCCUCCAAACUGCGAGGUUAAGCCAAUCCCCAAAAU